rnacentral:tRNA from 1 species
GGGCCCGUAGUUCAGAUGCGAGAACGCCUCGUUUGCACCGAGGAGGUCGUCGGUUGGAGUCCGACCGGGUCCA